AUGCCUUAGUACGGCGAGUGAAGCGGCAAAAGCUCAAAUUUGAAAUCUGGUACCUUCGGUGCCCGAGUUGUAAUUUGGAGAGGGCAACUUUGGGGCCGUUCCUUGUCUAUGUUCCUUGGAACAGGACGUCAUAGAGGGUGAGAAUCCCGUGUGGCGAGGAGUGCGGUUCUUUGUAAAGUGCCUUCGAAGAGUCGAGUUGUUUGGGAAUGCAGCUCUAAGUGGGUGGUAAAUUCCAUCUAAAGCUAAAUAUUGGCGAGAGACCGAUAGCGAACAAGUACAGUGAUGGAAAGAUGAAAAGAACUUUGAAAAGAGAGUGAAAAAGUACGUGAAAUUGUUGAAAGGGAAGGGCAUUUGAUCAGACAUGGUGUUUUGUGCCCUCUGCUCCUUGUGGGUAGGGGAAUCUCGCAUUUCACUGGGCCAGCAUCAGUUUUGGUGGCAGGAUAAAUCCAUAGGAAUGUAGCUUGCCUCGGUAAGUAUUAUAGCCUGUGGGAAUACUGCCAGCUGGGACUGAGGACUGCGACGUAAGUCAAGGAUGCUGGCAUAAUGGUUAUAUGCCGCCCGUCUUGAA
rnacentral:rRNA from 1 species